AUUGAACGCUGGCGGCAGGCCUAACACAUGCAAGUCGAGCGGAUGAAGGGAGCUUGCUCCUGGAUUCAGCGGCGGACGGGUGAGUAAUGCCUAGGAAUCUGCCUGGUAGUGGGGGAUAACGUCCGGAAACGGGCGCUAAUACCGCAUACGUCCUGAGGGAGAAAGUGGGGGAUCUUCGGACCUCACGCUAUCAGAUGAGCCUAGGUCGGAUUAGCUAGUUGGUGGGGUAAAGGCCUACCAAGGCGACGAUCCGUAACUGGUCUGAGAGGAUGAUCAGUCACACUGGAACUGAGACACGGUCCAGGCUCCUACGGGAGGCAGCAGUGGGGAAUAUUGGACAAAGGGCGAAAGCCUGAUCCAGCCAUGCCGCGUGUGUGAAGAAGGUCUUCGGAUUGUAAAGCACUUUAAGUUGGGAGGAAGGGCAGUAAGUUAAUACCUUGCUGUUUUGACGUUACCAACAGAAUAAGCACCGGCUAACUUCGUG
rnacentral:rRNA from 1 species